rnacentral:lncRNA from 1 species
GAUGGGAGGUGAUAAUCCCUCAAACUUACCAAUUAUGGUGGUCUGGUGUGCCUUUAUUGCAGAGAUGCUCUUCACUUUUCCAGUGGGCUUCAGUUUUCAUGAAGUAGCCUGAGAGAGGGCCUCUAUCUGUUGUUCACUUCUGCAGUUCUGGACAAUGCCCUUUAUGCCCCACUGUGCCUCUAAUGUGGAACCAGGGAUUGAACUCCAGACCUUGUGCUUGCAAGGCAGGCACUGGAACUACUGAGCUAAAUCUCCAGUCACUUAUUGUUAUCUUUCCUGAACAGACAUUAUUUUAAAAAGUAGCAUGGGAGUCACACAGAACAUGCCAAAUCAGCCCGCUACAGACAGGUAGGUCUGUGCACGCCCUACUGAGGUCCUGAGUCACGCGGAAGAUGCUGAAUCACCCCGCUGCAGACAGGCAGCCACCUGGUUCCACACUACAAAGACGCAGAGGAUGACACACCACCAGACCAAGGUACUGAGUCCCGCUGUUCCCGGCCCACAGGUAGGGGCUUCUGAGCUGCCAUCCCACUGCUCCUGAUCCAGAGGAAGGGGCUUCUGGGUCACCAUCCCUCCUGCUGCUCCCAGCCCAGAGGAAAGGGCUUUUGGGCCACCUUCUGUCCCACUGCUCCUGGCCCAGAGGAAGCGGCUUCCGCACCACCAUCCCACCCACCGCUCCCGGCCCAGAAGUAGGGGCUUCUGAGCCAACAUCCCACUGCUCCUGGUCUAGAGGAAGGGGCUUCCUGGUCACCAUCCUUCCCGCUGCUCCCAGCCCACAGGAAAGGGCUUUUGGGUCACCAUCUUUACCGCUGCUCCCAGCCCCUGACCCACCUCUCCCAGCUUAGAGGAGGUAAUCUGUGCAGGCACUAACAGCCCCCCGCCCCAGGCGAAAUGAGAAAACACAUAAAUAAGUCUCAAAACCAGACUUCCAGAUCACCUACAGCAACCCCAAAGGGAAAUGAGAUGGAACACUCUGAUACUCAACCACCUGGACCCACUGAACUGGCAAAAAAAGGGGAUCUGGAAAAAAUGAAAUCAGAAAUAAUUUCUCAGAUAACAGCAAAGAUUGUGUCCCUAGUGCAAGACAUGAUUAAUAAAACUAGAGAGGAGCUCAGGAACAUGAUGGAAUCACAACAUAAGAAACAAAUGGAAUCCAUAAAACAGAUGCAAAUAGAUUUCCAGGACAAGAAAAACUCCACUGAAAGUCUACACAGCAGAAUGAGCCAAUGUGAGGACAGAAUUUCAGAUAGAGAAGAUAAGAAUGCAAUUAGUGACCAGGAAAAGAAAAAUUGCUUCCAAAUUAUAAGGGAACAUGAGAAAUCAAUCCAGCAGCUGCUAGAUGAUGCAAAGAAGAAUAAUAUAAGACUGACUGGGCUCAAUGAAGAAACAGGAGUGAGUGCAGAUGACAUAAAAAAUCUCUUCACAGAAAUAAUGGCAGAAAACUUCCCAAGCAGGGGAAAAGAGCUUGACAUACAGAUAAGUGAGGCAUAUAGGACUCCAAAUAGCCUUGAUCAAAAAAAUUGACACAUAGGCAUAUAAUUGUUAAGAUUCCAGAAACACAACAGAAGAACAAAGUUCUCCAAGCAAUCAGAGCAAAGAAACAAAUCACAUACAAAGGAAAGCCCAUCAGAAUCACAGCAGACUUCUCAACACAAACCAUCAAG